GCGUUGGUGGUAUAGUGAUUAGCAAGCUGCCUUUCAAGCAGUUGACCCGGGUUCGAUUCCCGGCUAACAGCA
rnacentral:tRNA from 1 species